UACGGGGGGAGCAAGCGUUGUUCGGAUUUACUGGGCGUAAAGGGCGCGUAGGCGGUCGUGACAAGUCACUUGUGAAAUCUCCGGGCUUAACUCGGAACGGUCAAGUGAUACUGUCGGACUAGAGUACAGAAGGGGCAACUGGAAUUCUCGGUGUAGCGGUGAAAUGCGUAGAUAUCGAGAGGAACACCUGCGGCGAAGGCGGGUUGCUGGGCUGAUACUGACGCUGAGGCACGAAAGCCAGGGGAGCGAACGGG
rnacentral:rRNA from 1 species